UACGUAGGGCGCAAGCGUUGUCCGGAAUUAUUGGCGUAAAGAGCUCGUAGGCGGUUUGUCGCGUCUGCUGUGAAAACCUAAGGCUCAACCUUGGGCUUGCAGUGGGUACGGGCAGACUAGAGUGCGGUAGGGGUGACUGGAAUUCCUGGUGUAGCGGUGGAAUGCGCAGAUAUCAGGAGGAACACCGAUGGCGAAGGCAGGUC
rnacentral:rRNA from 1 species